AGACAGAAAGGACAAUGGUCUAUUUCCAAACAAAUUUUUGCUGACAUUUUUUUUAAGCGUCUAUGAAUGAAAAAAAUAUAAAAUGAUAGAUAAUUAUUUUCUUAACAACUAAUUCUUAUGGUUUAAUAUUAUGUGAAGUCUGGAAUUCGAGAUAUUUAUGUUUGAAGUUUUAGAGGUUAUGUUUUGUCAACAACGAAUAGAGACCUACUUUUUAAAUUGAAGUCUUAAUUAUUCCAUGAUUAUGAAGCCGGGUAUUUGGGUUCGAUCGAAGAACAUAAAAAGUAGGUUUGAUCCCCAUUUUCUCUUAGACAUGGAUAAUAUACAUACUUUAUAAAAAUGAACCUUCCUAAUUAAAUAUAAAAACCAACGUGGAAUUUAAUACAAUAGUGUUUUAAGUCAGUAGUUUAGCGGGAGAAUCGGUGUCCAUAAACAUAAGCGGUCGUUAAAAAAGAAUGUAGGUACAGAAAAUCUGUUGAUAAGUAUCGGAAAAAUGCAACAAGAUUUACAUGACGCUUAAGUACGCAAACAACGAAAUUACGACCCGAUGUGACAACUGACUGACAGUUCACAGUUGAAUUGUUAAUGACUUGUCAUAGGAACACGUAAAAGUAUCGAUACUUUAUAGUAUCGAUUAAUUAUUAUCGAUCUCCUUUCGAUACUGUUAUUUUUGUAAUCAAUAAGUAAUCUUCAGGAAAUUACUUACUAUUUUUACUUACGUUUUACCUUAACCUUACCUUAUUAAAAAGCAUGUCGAACAUACUUAAACAAUAAAUACGUUUGUAAACACUUGUUCCUUUCCUUUGAUUAUUAAAAUAUAUCAUAUGGCUUACCGUUGUUAAUAAUUGUUAUUAACAUGUUUGGCUGUUACAUUUUGGUUAUUUUAUUACUUAAAUGUAAAUUGCAGCCAAUUUAAUUUAAUUUAAAUUGCACCUAUUUAAUUUAAUUUAAAUUAAAUAGGUGUACCUAUUGCAUUUAAAUUAAUUACUAUUACUUGUUUGAAAAUCAAAAUAUUUUAUAUAUAUUUCAAAAUAAUUAUAUUAAUUCGUCAUGAAUAUUAGUUUAAAUGUUUGUUCUACUGAAAUUAAACUGAUGUCAUUGAAUACGUGUUCAAUGACGAUAUUUUAUUCGAUUCGAUACUGGCUUUUCGGUAUCGUGCGCGUCCCUAGUUGUCCGAUAUAUGCAAUAUUCGUAUAAAUAGUAUGGUUGCCAUACUCAAUUAUUUAAAUGUAAUUGAUGUGAAUAUAUUUUAGUUUUUGGACUUAAUUAGACCUUUUGCUCUGUUUCAAAAAAUUAAAUAAAUUAUUUUCUACAAACUGUAAUAGUUUACAUUAGUAGACGCUUAUGAAUUCUAUCAACAAACACCAGACCAUUGUCCUUUCAUAACUGGCAGGUAACUAAAUACCAAUAUGUAUCUAGUAGGUAUAAGUAAUAAAAAUUGGUACAUGUAUUAAUAACGUUAUUUAGUUAUUUGUAGGUAUCUGCUUACAUACAUUAAUACUAGUACCUAGUACCUACGUACCUCCUCAUUAACUCCACUUAUCUAAAAUACCUACCUACUUAAAUAGCAAGAAAUGAUUUUCGACUUUCGAGGAAAGCAUCAUUAUUUUUGUGAGAUUAAAAUACACUCGUAUUUCAAACGAAACUAAUACCUGCCAGGUAAAACUGGAUGUUCGCAGGUAAAAUGACUCAGAUCCCACAGCGGUCAACAAUUCCACAAAUCUGUCAAUGGGCAGACAUUGUUUUAAAGGCUAUGUUAAUUUUGAACUAUUAGGACAAUGCUUUGUGUGUGUGUUUUAAAUAUUUUUCUUUUGUAAAAUUAUUUCACAAAAUUAGAUGGUUGGCUAAACCAUACUACUUUUUAGUAAGGCGUCUAACGUUUUUUAAGUAAGUAGGUAGGUUCCUACUUCCUACACAAUUUCUCACAUUGCUCAAAUACCUUUUUUAAAUUGGUGACCAGCUCUCGUCAGUAUCAAAAACAGUCUUUUUCUUUAACAUUGACACUUUGCAAUAUAUAUUUCAUAUACCUACCUACUGCAUUUUUUAUGGUAAGUAUUUAUAUUUAUUAGUAAGUUGAUAUGAAGGUUCUGUCUGUAUCUAUUUAAAAAACGGAAUCUUUAAAGGUUUUUUAUUGUCAUUGUCUGUCUGUUUUCGUUUACUCUGUUAGUAGGUAACUAUGAUUUAAAAGGAAUUUCGAAAUCGCAAGCACCUGGGUAGAUAAAAUAUUUCAACAUAUUAUAUUUAUUUUUCUGAUUGCUCUGUGCAUUGACAAUACAUUACCUUAGCAAUAAUUCAUUGAGCUAUCUCAUCUUCUAUUUGUAUCUGUAGCUCAGUUAACUGCCUCGUUGAUCCUGUGGUUAGUCUGAUCACGUGGAUCACGUUCAAGUCUAGGGUCGGACUAAUGAAAUAUUGAGUUAUUAUUUCUUCCAAGAAAAACACACACGUUAAGCUAUCGGUCAUUAUCAAUUAUCAAUUAUUGUACCGAUCAAUAGAAGUACCUAGUGAGCCAUGAGUAUAGUAUUGAGAGUUGAAUCGAUCAAAAAUAUCGAUGACAAAUUGGUACUUUAGCACAUCACUAAAAUACCUUUCCUAGUAGGCACCAUAUUCUCAUAAUUAACUAUGUAAAUAAAUUCCAAAUCGCUAAAACAAACGUAAGGUCCACGUGCAUUGGGAGUCAAGUUACAUCAAGCUUAUGAGACACUGAGACACCUGUUGCGAGCUAAUUUGCAUCCCAUUAAUAUUUUAUAUAUAUAUAUGCUAACGUGAACAAUUAAACAUAAGUUAUUUUCAUAUUAAGGAAACGGGAAAUUUUAAGCCCUACCUACCUUUACCACCUAAUGCGCAGAAGAGAUUAGUUGUAGUGAAAAUGGAUUUCGUAUACGUAUUGCAAUAAUAAUAAUAAUAAUAUAAAUAUAUAAAUUUACAGGUAGGAGUUAUUUGAGUUCGUACCACUCAAGUCUGUAACGUGCUGAUUCUUCCAACCCAGAGGGUUAAUUUUGUUUGGUUAUUUCAAUGAAAUGGCGUUGCAUUUGUUUCAUCCCUAUGUCAUUGAUAUCGCUAGAACUCGUACAAAGCGUCGUUCGUACCUGAUGAAGUCAAUAACGUGUAGAUUCUUACAAUCCAGAGGGUUAAUUUUGUUUGGUUAUUUCAACGAAAUGGCUUUGCGAUAAGGGUUUUUCCUAGAAAUAACCAUGGUCGCAAAAACAAAAAAAUCUUAGAUAAAGUGGCUCAUGUUUUAUUAAAUUGUACACUGAAACAUUACAGAAUUACCUUAGUCACCAGCUACACCUUAGGCCAAUCAUAUCAGGCGACAUUUUGACGGCCUCCUUUUGAUUUAAUGACGGAGGUCCUGGGUUCGAUCCCCGGUUGGGCCGAUUGAGGUUUUCUAAAUUGGUCCAGGUCUAGCUGGUGAGAGCCUUCGGCCGUGGCUAGUUACCACCCUACCGACAAAGACAUACCGCCAAGCGAUUUAGCGUUUCGGUGCGAUGUCGUGUAGAAACCGAAAGGAGUGUUGAUUUUCAUCCUCCUCCUAACAAGUUAGCCCACUUCCAUCUUUGAUUAUAUCAUCACUUACCAUCAGGUGAUAUUGUAGUCAAGGGCUAACUUGUAAAGCAUAAAAAAUAAAAAAAGAGAGAGUAGGUACCUACUUCACAUAAUAACAAAAUUAGAUAGGUCAUUUUGCUAGUAAGUGCGACUGGCAAUUAAUUAGACGCACGGAUCAUGGCGAUGUCCUUGACCUACCUACCGCAGACAGCAUCAUCACUUAUCCAAUUAUUCAAAUGAAACCAAAUUCAAAAUCAAUUUGAUUUAAUUGGAUUCAAUAAAAACCUGAAAGUACAUCAUAUUUUCACACUAGGGUAUAGGGUGCCGUAACGGGUAAAACGGGACUUAGUAGUACCUUACUACGGUGGAAUUCAUAGUCGUAGUAGGGGGCCCCUAAGGGGAUUAUUCAGCCGCUAUGUGUCGAAUUCAACCCCCACGCGUUUCAUAGACAAAAGAAACCCCUCAUUUGACAGGAGCUGGCGGCUGACUGCUGAAUUACCGAUAUUUGUCAGCCAAACCAUCCCCUGGCAUUUUUUUUUUGUUGUUAUUCGUGAUUUAUUUAUUAGAAAGUGGACUUGGAAAGUGUUAAGACUGUGUAUAAACAGCGAGUUAUAUCAGUAUCCAAGAUAAAUAUUCGCAAUUGCGUAAAUCCAGUUUAAUACUAUGGCGUUAUGGAAUGUACGAAAGAUUCUCAUAUUAGGCAUAAUAUACCUCUGUUUGAUGAAGAAUGAACACAGAAGACCCAAGAGAGGAAUACCAAUACCGCUAUUAUUAUGCAUUCUAGCAGCACUUCGAUUCUAUGUAACGGGAUGUUUCCAGACUGUAUGUGCAGUCCAUCAAGCAUUCUAUGAAAUAACAGAAAUGCCACAAAUCAAGCUGUAUUGAUGGCAGACAUAGGUAUACAUAUAAACAACCCCGGAGGACCCUAUACACAGAUUUAAAGAAACCGGCUAUCAUGGCAGGGAAUAGCAGUGAUGAGCUCUGAGAAUACUGUUUUACCAAGAAUACUGAGAAUACUUUGGUCCUUGAAAAUCCGAGUUUUCAGAUCACAGUAAUUGGAAGACCCACAUACCUUGAAAAGUCAGCAGCAUUUAAUAUCGAGGUAGUAGGAGUGAGUGCAAUGUAUUGUAAGGUGGUCACUCACUCUGAAGUCCAUAACAAUAGAAAAUAUAUACAAAUCUUAAUUGAAUGAAUGAUGGAAAAUAAAAAUUUAUUGAUUCACAUCUUUAAUAAAGAUUAUUAUUAAAUGUUUA